rnacentral:tRNA from 1 species
GUCUUUAGUUUAAUUUUGAAUAGUUUGCUUACAAUAAACAGGUUUGAAGAUUUU